rnacentral:rRNA from 1 species
CAGCCGUAAACUAAUGCGCGUUAGGUGUACUGGUGACCACGAGUCACCGGGGUGCCGAAGGGAAACCGUGAAACGUGCCGCCUGGGAAGUACGGUCGCAAGGCUGAAACUUAAAGGAAUUGGCGGGGGAGCGACCACAACGGGUGGAGCCUGCGGUUUAAUUGGACUCAACGCCGGAAAUCUCACCGGAUAGGACAGACAUAUGAUAGUCGGGCUGAAGACUCUACUUGAUGAUCUGAGAGGUGGUGCAUGGCGUCAGUGACU